UACGAGUUUGAUCAUGGCUCAGAAUCAACGCUGGCGGCGUGCCUCAGACAUGCGAGUCGAACGAUUAAAGCUCUCUUCGGAGAGUGUAUAGAGUGGCGCACGGGUGAGUAACACGUAAGUAAUCUACCCUCGAGUGGGGAAUAACAACCGGAAACGGUUGCUAAUACCGCAUAAUGCAGCGGCACCGCAAGGUGACAGUUGUUAAGGAUUUAUCGCUUGAGGAGGAGCUUGCGGCAGAUUAGCUAGUUGGUAGGGUAACGGCUUACCAAGGCUACGAUCUGUAACCGGUCUAAGAGGACGGUCGGUCACACUGACACUGAAUAACGGGUCAGACUCCUACGGGAGGCAGCAGUCGGGAAUUUUGGGCAAUGGGCGAAAGCCUGACACAGCAACGCCGCGUGAAGGAUGAAGUAUUUCGGUAUGUAAACUUCGAAAGAAUAGGAAGAAUUAAUGACGGUACUAUUUAUAAGGUCCGGCUAACUACGUG
rnacentral:rRNA from 1 species